rnacentral:rRNA from 1 species
CUCAAAUGAAUUGACGGGGGCCCGCACAAGCGGUGGAGCAUGUGGUUUAAUUCGAUGCAACGCGAAGAACCUUACCUACUCUUGACAUCCAGAGAACUUUCCAGAGAUGGAUUGGUGCCUUCGGGAACUCUGAGACAGGUGCUGCAUGGCUGUCGUCAGCUCGUGUUGUGAAAUGUUGGGUUAAGUCCCGCAACGAGCGCAACCCUUAUCCUUUGUUGCCAGCGGU